CAGCCGCCGCGGGAAUACGUAGGUGGCAAGCGUUGUCCGGAAUUAUUGGGCGUAAAGGGCUCGCAGGCGGUUUCUUAAGUCUGAUGUGAAAGCCCCCGGCUCAACCGGGGAGGGUCAUUUGAAACUGGGAAACUUGAGUGCAGAAGAGGAGAGUGGAAUUCCACGUGUAGCGGUGAAAUGCGUAGAGAUGUGGAGGAACACCAGUGGCGAAGGCGACUCUCUGGUCUGUAACUGACGCUGAGGAGCGAAAGCGUGGGGAGUGAACAGGAUUAGAUACCCCAGUAGUCCCUGUCUCUUAUAC
rnacentral:rRNA from 1 species